rnacentral:rRNA from 1 species
GAUGAACGCUGGCGGCGUGCCUAAUACAUGCAAGUCGAGCGAACAGAUGAGAAGCUUGCUUCUCUGAUGUUAGCGGCGGACGGGUGAGUAACACGUGGGUAACCUACCUAUAAGACUGGGAUAACUCCGGGAAACCGGGGCUAAUACCGGAUAAUAUUUUGAACCGCAUGGUUCAAUAGUGAAAGACGGUUUCGGCUGUCACUUAUAGAUAGACCCGCGCCGUAUUAGCUAGUUGGUAAGGUAACGGCUUACCAAGGCGACGAUACGUAGCCGACCUGAGAGGGUGAUCGGCCACACUGGAACUGAGACACGGUCCAGACUCCUACGGGAGGCGGCAGUAGGGAAUCUUCCGCAAUGGGCGAAAGCCUGACGGAGCAACGCCGCGUGAGUGAUGAAGGUCUUCGGAUCGUAAAACUCUGUUGUUAGGGAAGAACAAAUUUGUUAGUAACUGAACAAGUCCUGACGGUACCUAACCAGAAAGCCACGGCUAACUACGUGCCAGCAGCCGCAGUAA